GAUGAACGCUGGCGGCGUGCCUAAUACAUGCAAGUCGAGCGAACGGACGAGAAGCUUGCUUCUCUGAUGUUAGCGGCGGACGGGUGAGUAACACGUGGAUGACCUACCUAUAAGACUGGGAUAACUUCGGGAAACCGUAGCUAAUACCGGAUAAUAUUUUGAACCGCAUGGUUCAAAAGUGAAAGACGGUCUUGCUGUCACUUAUAGAUGGAUCCGCGCUGCAUUAGCUAGUUGGUAAGGUAACGGCUUACCAAGGCAACGAUGCAUAGCCGACCUGAGAGGGUGAUCGGCCACACUGGAACUGAGACACGGUCCAGACUCCUACGGGAGGCAGCAGUAGGGAAUCUUCCGCAAUGGGCGAAAGCCUGACGGAGCAACGCCGCGUGAGUGAUGAAGGUCUUCGGAUCGUAAAACUCUGUUAUUAGGGAAGAACAUAUGUGUAAGUAACUGUGCACAUCUUGACGGUACCUAAUCAGAAAGCCACGGCUAACUACGU
rnacentral:rRNA from 1 species